AUAAUGGGUCAGCGACUUAUAUUCUGUAGCAAGGUUAACCGAAUAGGGGAGCCGAAGGGAAACCGAGUCUUAACUGGGCGUUAAGUUGCAGGGUAUAGACCCGAAACCCGGUGAUCUAGCCAUGGGCAGGUUGAAGGUUGGGUAACACUAACUGGAGGACCGAACCGACUAAUGUUGAAAAAUUAGCGGAUGACUUGUGGCUGGGGGUGAAAGGCCAAUCAAACCGGGAGAUAGCUGGUUCUCCCCGAAAGCUAUUUAGGUAGCGCCUCGUGAAUUCAUCUCCGGGGGUAGAGCACUGUUUCGGCAAGGGGGUCAUCCCGACUUACCAACCCGAUGCAAACUGCGAAUACCGGAGAAUGUUAUCACGGGAGACACACGGCGGGUGCUAACGUCCGUCGUGAAGAGGGAAACAACCCAGACCGCCAGCUAAGGUCCCAAAGUCAUGGUUAAGUGGGAAACGAUGUGGGAAGGCCCAGACAGCCAGGAUGUUGGCUUAGAAGCAGCCAUCAUUUAAAGAAAGCGUAAUAGCUCACUGGUCGAGUCGGCCUGCGCGGAAGAUGUAACGGGGCUAAACCAUGCACCGAAGCUGCGGC
rnacentral:rRNA from 1 species